ACACCCACCGCGCCGAGCCUCGUCAGGUGGGUGUCCCGCCGGAAGAUCUCCGGGCAGACGAGGACGGGGGAACCCAACGCGGCCACCACGGUGGCCUUGGGGUGAAGCCGGCUCACGCCGGCCGGGCACCUGACAGCCCGAACCCGACAGCUAACCCCGCAGGCGCCGGUCAGGAGAGGA
rnacentral:sRNA from 2 species